UUGCUUGCAAUCCGCUGACGACCGGCGCACGGGUGAGUAACGCGUAUGCAACCUACCUUUUACAGGGGUAUAGUCAAGAGAAAUUUUGAAUAACACCCCAUACGAUCAUCAUUACACAUGUAAAGAUGAAGAAAACUCCGGUGGUAAAAGAUGGGCAUGCGUCCUAUUAGUUAGUUGGUGAGGUAACGGCUCACCAAGACCGCGAUAGGUAGGGGUCCUGAGAGGGAGAUCCCCCACACUGGGACUGAGAUACGGCCCAGACUCCUACGGGAGGCAGCAGUGGGGAAUCUUGCACAAUGGGCGAAAGCCUGAUGCAGCGAUGCCGCGUGAGUGAAGAAGGCCUUUGGGUUGUAAAGCUCUUUUGUCGGGAAAGAUAAUGACUGUACCCGAAGAAUAAGGUCCGGCUAACUUCGUGCCAGCAGCCGCGGUAAUACGAAGGGACCUAGCGUAGUUCGGAAUUACUGGGCGUAAAGAGUAUGUAGGCGGCUAGAUA
rnacentral:rRNA from 1 species